rnacentral:rRNA from 1 species
UUGAAAGGGAAACGAUUGAAGUCAGUCGUACCAGCGGGAAAUCAACCUUUCGAGUGGGGGUUUUGGAGUUUUGAAGAGUUUCAAAACCUUUGAGAUUUCAAAAAUUUCGCUCUUUUGGUGUACUUUCUCGUGGGUAGGUUAACAUCGAUUUUGAUCAUCAUAAAAAGAUUGGAGGAAUGUAGCUUCGAUCUUGUAUUGAAGUGUUAUAACCUUUGGUAAAAAUGUGAUGAUUAGGAUCGAGGAUUGCAACGAAUACCCUUUUGGGCUAUAUCCGCCUGAUCUCUGAUACGUGGCCUUGGUAUCGAAAGCUUGCUUAUGGUAUUAAGGUAUUACGGUCAAAAGGUUAGAACGGAUUACAUUCGUUAAGGAUGUUGACGUA